GAACUCUUCGGAGUUAGUGGCGGACGGGUGAGUAACACGUGGGAACGUGCCUUUUGGUUCGGAAUAACUCAGGGAAACUUGUGCUAAUACCGAAUGUGCCCUUCGGGGGAAAGAUUUAUCGCCAUUAGAGCGGCCCGCGUCUGAUUAGCUAGUUGGUGAGGUAACGGCUCACCAAGGCGACGAUCAGUAGCUGGUCUGAGAGGAUGAUCAGCCACACUGGGACUGAGACACGGCCCAGACUCCUACGGGAGGCAGCAGUGGGGAAUCUUGCGCAAUGGGCGAAAGCCUGACGCAGCCAUGCCGCGUGAAUGAUGAAGGUCUUAGGAUUGUAAAAUUCUUUCACCGGGGACGAUAAUGACGGUACCCGGAGAAGAAGCCCCGGCUAACUUCGUGCCAGCAGCCGCGGUAAUACGAAGGGGGCUAGCGUUGCUCGGAAUUACUGGGCGUAAAGGGCGCGUAGGCGGAUCGUUAAGUCAGGGGUGAAAUCCCGGGGCUCAACCUCGGAAUUGCCCUUGAUACUGGCGAUCUUGAGUAUGAGAGAGGUAUGUGGAACUCCGAGUGUAGAGGUGAAAUUCGUAGAUAUUCGGAAGAACACCAGUGGCGAAGGCGACAUACUGGCUCAUUACUGACGCUGAGGCGCGAAAGCGUGGGGAGCAAACAGAUUAAUACCCUGUAGUCCCGCCGUAACGAUGAUUGCUAUUGUCGGCUGCAUGCAUUCGUGACGCACUACGCAUAAGCAUCCCCUGGGAGUACGUCGCAGAUAAACUCAAGAUU
rnacentral:rRNA from 1 species